rnacentral:snRNA from 1 species
AAUUGCUAAAGAAAAAGUAUUUCUUUAUCGAUGUCCUACCCCAACUUGCAUUGUCUGUAGAAAUUGGGGUUCCAAUUUCUCUAUGUUGGGGCCCCGCCAACUUGCACAUUUUUGUAAGCUGACUUUUCGCCAGCUUCUAUGUUGGGGCCCCCGCCAACUUGCAUUGUUUGUUGGAAUUGGUGAUCCUAUUUCUCUCUGUUGUGGCCCCGCCAACUUGCACAUUUUUGUAUGCUGACUUUUCGCCAGCUUCUGUGUUGGGCCCCACCCCAACUUGCAUUGUCUGUUGAAAUUGGUGAUCCAAUUUCUCUAUGUUGGGGCCCCGCCAACUUGCAUUGUCUGUUGGAAUUGGUGAUCCUAUUUCUCUCUGUUGUGGCCCCACGAGUAUUGAAAAAACUUGUUAUAAGCUUAUUUUCAUUUAGUCAACUACUACCAAUAUAGCACUAGAACUGGAAAUGAUAAUUUAAUAUUGUACACUU